rnacentral:lncRNA from 1 species
AUGUUUAUCAAACAAAAGAAAUCUUUACAACUAAGCUAUCCAAUGAACAUUUACUUGCUAAGAAAUAUUACAAAUCCCUUUCGCCACCAACUCCUCCACCAACUUCUCCAUCACUGCUUUCCCAAACCCCAGCCCCAGCCCCAGCAGCUGAAAUGAGGGGUUGACCACCACGUCCCAUAUGAUCACGUUGAAAAUGCCGUCCCCUGUUGCUCUCGCAAACGCCACAUGCCUUUUCAUCUUCCUGUACUCCAUCCACAGUAG